rnacentral:rRNA from 1 species
CCAAUAGCGUAUAUUAAAGUUGUUGCAGUUAAAAAGCUCGUAGUUGAAUUUCGGGAUUGACGUGACGGUCGUGCCUUACGGGGUAUGAACUGUCGCAGUUGAUUUCUCACCUUCUGGAGAAGCUCGAUGUCCUUAAUUGGGUGUCUUGCGGAACCAGGACCUUUACCUUGAAAAAAUUAGAGUGUUUAAAGCAGGCAUUUUGCUCGAAUACAUUAGCAUGGAAUAAUAGAAUAGGACGGCAUGGUUCUAUUUUGUUGGUUUCUAGGAUCACCGUAAUGAUUAAUAGGGAUAGUUGGGGGCAUUAGUAUUCAAUUGUCAGAGGUGAAAUUCUUGGAUUUAUUGAAGACUAACUACUGCGAAAGCAUUUGCCAAGGAUGUUUUCAUUAAUCAAGAACGAAAGUUAGGGGAUCGAAGACGAUCAGAUACCGUCGUAGUCUUAACCAUAAACUAUGCCGACUAGGAAUCAGACGAUGUUAAUUUUUUAAUGACUCGUUUGGCACCUUACG